CCGACUCCAGCUCUACAGCUCUUCUGAAAGGUGUGGGUGUUCAAGAUUUUGCCAAGUGUGAGUGAGCUGAAGGCCCAGAGCUUUGGAGGGACGGCUCUGAGCAGGGAACCCUGGCUGAGUGACUGAGGCUGAUUCAGGGAAUGCUGUGGAUUUAGGUGUACAGAGCGGCAAGAUCCCUAUCAAGUACCCACCCCACAAACUACUUCUGUCCAGCAAGUAGAGUUCUCGGAGACAAUGGUAGCAGCGAUCUUUUUAAACUGCGCAAGUCCUGUCUGAUACACCUGCAGAGCUGGAAACCCAGGACCAUAUUUACAGUGAAACUAGCUGAGACGUUUUCCUCUAAACCUAGCUAUACAUGAAGAAGCUUCGACCUGAUGAUUCAACUGUAAGUGAUACCAAGUUAAACUCAGAAAUGCAGCCUUGUGGAGACCAGAUGGCAGCUCAUGGAGUUGGCAGCCACAGCAUCAACAAAAGGUCUGAAAAGCUACUAAUGAAGGUUGACAGAAAUAUAUUCUCAGCUACCUCAAGGCCAGCAGCAAGAAGAAUUUUAAAAUAACGGUCCCCCUGUCUUAGGGGCUCUCAAGUGGUUAUCCUGCACAAUCGCUAACACUUGGAAAGGACAGAACCUCAGAGCCCACAAGAAAUGACUAUAGUUAUCUAGAGCCCCAGUCCCUCAUUUUACAAACGGAAGGACCACGGUCCAGAUCCAUGGGUUUGUAUUCUACUCAAAGUAACCAGUAAUGUAUUAGAAAGAAAAAUAAGCAGUUCAUUUGGUUUAGGAGGCUGUGUGGGAGGAGGGGAAGCACAGAUGUGCUUUGAAUUUCACUUUAUAAGGAGAAAAUUGUGAAACCCUCUAACCUCAGCAGCCAACCCAGGUUACCAGCAUGCAUCAAAGGAAUGAAGCCAUCAGUCUGAGAUUCACUUACCCAAUGUCCUCUUAGUAUGGAGAGAAGUAAGGGGGUAAGAGGCCUCUCUCUGAGGUGACACCGAAGCACUGUCCUCUGGCCGUGGUCUGCCUUCCACAGGAUCACAUGGAAUUGUUCUAUAAAUGUGUACUGGCUUAAGGUUGGGAACACUAGCUUGGGAG